rnacentral:rRNA from 1 species
CCCUUAGAUGUUCGGGGCCGCACGCGCGCUACACUGAAGGAAUCAGCACGUCUUUCUCCUUGUCCGAAAGGACUGGGUAACCCGCUGAACCUCCUUCGUGCUAGGGAUUGGGGCUUGUAAUUCUUCCCCAUGAACGAGGAAUUCCCAGUAAGCGCGAGUCAUAAGCUCGCGUUGAUUACGUCCCUGCCCUUUGUACACACCGCCCGUCACUACUACCGAUUGGAUGGUUUAGUGAGAUCCUCGGAUUGGUCCCGGAGCGGCCUCUGGUCGUGCCGGAGUGCCGAAAAGAAUGUCGAACUUGAUCAUCUAGAGGAAGUAAAAGUCGUAACA